CCCUUAGAUGGUCUGGGCCGCACGCGUGCUACACUGAGUGGAUCAGCGGGUCAGGUUGCGCGAAAGUGUUUCCUAAUCUUUAAAUCCGCUCGUGAUGGGGAUUGACGGUUGCAAUUUUCCGUCAUGAACGAGGAAUACCUUGUAAGCGCGGGUCAUCAUCCCGCGCUGAAUACGUCCCUGCCCUUUGUACACACCGCCCGUCGCUCCUACCGAUUGAGUGGUCCGGUGAGGCUUUGGGAUCUGAGCGGAAAGAGCGUUUCGCUGUUUCUGCCCGGAAAACUCAGUCGAACCUUAUCAUUUAGAGGAAGGAGAAGUCGUAACA
rnacentral:rRNA from 1 species